AUUUUGCGUUAGGGAUAGCAGCGGAAAUUCUUUAAAGGUAUUGCGAGCGAAGGCGAGAAAUUACACAGUAAUUUUGAGCUAAAGCGAAAAAUCAUCUUUAAAGAUUGAAGCGAAUAGCCCGCCGCGAC
rnacentral:sRNA from 1 species